rfam:TPA: Bos taurus chromosome 19, whole genome shotgun sequence.
CCCCUGGUGGCUCAGUGCUAAAGAAUCUGUCUGCCAUGCAGGAUACAUGGGUUCAAUCCCCAAUCUGGGAA